CUCCUACGGGAGGCAGCAGUGGGGAAUAUUGCACAAUGGAGGAAACUCUGAUGCAGCGACGCCGCGUGAGGGAAGAAGGUCUUCGGAUUGUAAACCUCUGUUGUCAGGGACGAUAAUGACGGUACCUGACGAGGAAGCCACGGCUAACUACGUGCCAGCAGCCGCGGUAAAACGUAGGUGGCAAGCGUUGUCCGGAAUUACUGGGUGUAAAGGGAGCGCAGGCGGGAGAGCAAGUUGGAAGUGAAAUCUGUGGGCUCUACUCACAAAUUGCUUUCAAAACUGUUUUUCUUGAGUGGUGUAGAGGUAGGCGGAAUUCCCGGUGUAGCGGUGGAAUGCGUAGAUAUCGGGAGG
rnacentral:rRNA from 1 species